GGAGGGUGUCCGGGUGGUUAGGAAGCGCACUCGAAAUGCGUCGCCCAGCAAUGGGUUGAGAGUUCGAAUCUCUUGCCCUCCGCC
rnacentral:tRNA from 1 species